rnacentral:rRNA from 1 species
AUUGAACGCUGGCGGCAGGCCUAACACAUGCAAGUCGAGCGGAUGAAGUUAGCUUGCUCCUGGAUUCAGCUUCGGACUGGUGUGUAAUUCCUAGGAAUCUGCCUUGUAUUUGUUUAUAACGUCCGUUAACGGGCGCUAAUACCUCAUACGUCCUUAUGGUGAAAGUUGGUUAUCUUCGGACCUCACGCUACCAGAUGAGCCUAGGUCGGAUUAGCUAGUUGGUGGGGUAAAGGCCUACAAAGGCGACGAUCCGUAACUGUUCUGAGAGGAUGAUCAGUAACACUGGAACUGAGAAACGGUCAAGAAUCGUAAGGGAGGCAGAAGUGGGGAAAAUUGGAAAAAGGGAGAAAGCCUGAUCCAGACAUGCCGCGUGUGUGAAGAAGGUCUACGGAUUGUAAAGCACUUUAAGUUGGGAGGAAGGGAAGUAAGUUAAUACCUUGCUGUUUUGACGUAACCAACAGAAUAAGCACCGGCUAACUUCGU